UCAUUCAGAGUUUAGUUACUACCGUGUAAGAUUGCCCUAUUAGAACUGGAAUCAGAAGGAAUCUCUCAUGAAGGUCACUGUGUGCAAACUGCAUAGCUAUGGAAAAAGGAGCUCAGAAGAAUAUUUGCUGGCAAAGCCACAAGACUAGAAGAUUGGUA